rnacentral:rRNA from 1 species
GACGUAGGUGGCGCGCUUUUUUCUUCCUUACUUUUCUUAAAUCUUCCGUAGGCGGGUUGGUAAGUGGAUCGUUAAAUCCCGGGGCUCAACCCCGUGGGUGCUGUCCGGACUGCCGAUCUGGAGGCCGGCAGAGGGUGAUGGAAUUCCCGGUGUAGCGGUGAAAUGCGUAGAUAUGCGGAGGAACACCGAUGGCGAAGGCAAUCCCCUGGGCCUGCACUGACGCUCAUGCACGAAAGCGUGGGGAGCAAACAGG